GGGGUUGUGGCUUGGUGGUAGAGCAUCUGUUUGGUAUGCAGAUCACGGGUUCAAUCCUUGGCAUCUCCA
rnacentral:tRNA from 1 species